rnacentral:rRNA from 1 species
UGGGGAAUCUUGGACAAUGGGCGCAAGCCUGAUCCAGCCAUGCCGCGUGAGUGAAGAAGGCCUUCGGGUUGUAAAGCUCUUUUACCAGGGACGAUAAUGACGGUACCUGGAGAAUAAGCCCCGGCAAACUUCGUGCCAGCAGCCGCGGUAAUACGAAGGGGGCUAGCGUUGUUCGGAAUUACUGGGCGUAAAGCGCACGUAGGCGGAUUGUUAAGUCAGAGGUGAAAUCCCGGAGCUCAACUUCGGAACUGCCUUUGAUACUGGCAAUCUAGAGUCCGAUAGAGGUGAGUGGAAUUCCUAGUGUAGAGGUGAAAUUCGUAGAUAUUAGGAAGAACGCCAGUGGCGAAGGCGGCUCACUGGAUCGGUACUGACGCUGAGGUGCGAAAGCGUGGGGAGCAAACAGGAUUAGAUACCCUAGUAGUCCCUGAGCGGGCUGGCAAGGCGCAU